UUAUGGCUCAGAGCGAACGCUGGCGGCAGGCCUAACACAUGCAAGUCGAGCGCCCGCAAGGGGAGCGGCAGACGGGAGAGUAACACGUGGGAACGUACCCUUCGGUUCGGAACAACCCAGGGAAACUUGGGCUAAUACCGGAUACGUCCGAAAGGAGAAAGAUUUAUCGCCGAGGGAUCGGCCCGCGUCUGAUUAGCUAGUUGUGGGGUAACGGCCCACCAAGGCGACGAUCAGUAGCUGGUCUGAGAGGAUGAUCAGCCUCACUGGGACUGAGACACGGCCCAGACUCCUACGGGAGGCAGCAGUGGGGAAUAUUGGACAAUGGGCGCAAGCCCUGAUCCAGCCAUGCCGCGUGGGUGAUGAAGGCCCUAGGGUUGUAAAGCCCUUUCGGCGGGGAAGAUAAUGACGGUACCCGCAGAAGAAGCCCCGGCUAACUUCGUGCCAGCCGCGGC
rnacentral:rRNA from 1 species